UGCAAACCCGAUUGACUCGAUGACAGUCAUGUGUGGUGUUUUGGCUUUGAAAAGUUCAGGAAAAUUUAGGUUUUUGUCCUGUGAAACAAGCUUACCCUUUGUCUGCUACAGCUUCCCUCCACCCGUAAAACAGCAUGUAGUUAAGCUGAGACUGAAUCCUGGGUCCUCCGGUCUGGAUUUGGAUGAUCCUAUUGUGAAAUCAGAAGUCCUGAAAAAGUUCAAGGUAAGGUUGAACCAGCAAGGAGCGAGUUUUGUCACCCUGACGUGGAGAGAGCAGCCUCAUAAAUUAGUAUUUCAGAAAGAGGAAACAUGAAAGAAGACUGAGCUUUGAAAUUUGUGCGUCCUUGCUUCAUUAAUAUCCACAAUGCAUUCCUGAAUUUUUCAUUGUAACCCUUUUAAAUAAAAUGUUAAAAUAGAUCUUUCUUCUUUAAUAAUAUUGUUUGUGUAAUGUAG